UAUAACUUUCAGCAACGGAUCUCUUGGCUCUCGUAUCGAUGAAGAACGCAGCGAAAUGCGAUAAGUAAUGUGAAUUGCAGAAUUCAGUGAAUCAUCGAAUCUUUGAACGCACCUUGCACCCUUUGGUAUUCCGAAGGGUAUGCCUGUUUGAGUGUCAUUAAAUUCUCAAA
rnacentral:rRNA from 1 species